GAUGAACGCUGGCGGCAUGCCUAAUACAUGCAAGUCGAGCGAACGGACGAGAAGCUCGCUUCUCUGCUGUUAGCGGCGGACGGGUGAGUCAUACGUGGAUAACCUACCUAUAAGACUGGGAUCACUUCGGGAAACCGGAUCUCAUACCGGAUAAUAUUUUGAACCGCAUGGUUCAACAGUGAUAGACGGUCUUGCUGUCACUUAUAGAUGGUUCCGCGCUGCAUUAGCUAGUUGGUACGGUAACGGCUUACCAAGGCAACGAUGCAUAGCUGACCUGAGAGGGUGAUCGGCCACACUGGAACUGAGACACGGUCCAGACUCCUACGGGAGGCAGCAGUAGGGAAUCUUCCGCAAUGGGCGAAAGCCUGACGGAGCAACGCCGCGUGAGUGAUGAAGGUCUUCGGAUCGUAAAACUCUGUUAGUAGGGAAGAACAUAUGUGUAAGUAACUGUGCACAUCUUGACGGUACCAAAACAGAAAGCCACGGCUAACUUCGUG
rnacentral:rRNA from 1 species